AUGGACGGCGGCAGCAGCCUAAACCUAAUAUACCAGGAUACAAUCCGCGGGAUGGGGUUAGACCCAACACAAAUUCGCCAUAGCAAUAUUACCUUUAAAGGAGUAACGCCAGGCCCAGGGGCUCGUUGUACGGGCUCCCUCCUACUACAAGUUAUAUUCGGCUCCCCCGAUAACUUCCGUCGCGAGCAUUUAACUUUCCACAUUGCUCCGUUUAAAAGUGGCUAUCAAGCACUGCUCGGACGCGAAGCUUUCGCUCGCUUUAAUGCAAUACCACACUACGCCUCCCUCGCACUCAAGAUGCCCGGUCCACGUGGCAUCAUUACGGUGCACUGA
rnacentral:rRNA from 1 species